GACGAACGCUGGCGGCGUGCUUAACACAUGCAAGUCGAACGGAAAGGCCCUGCUUGCAGGGUACUCGAGUGGCGAACGGGUGAGUAACACGUGGGUGAUCUGCCCUGCACUUCGGGAUAAGCCUUGGAAACUGGGUCUAUUACCGGAUAGAAGCCAUUUUGAUUGUGGUUGGUGGAAAGUUUUUUCGGUGUAGGAUGAGCUCGCUGCCUAUCAGCUUGUUGGUUGGGUAGUGGCCUACCAAGGAGGCGACGGGUAGCCGGCCUGAGAGGGUGGGCGGCCACAUUGGGACUGAGAUACGGCCCAGACUCCUACGGGAGGCAGCAGUGGGGAAUAUUGCACAAUGGGCGGAAGCCUGAUGCAGCGACGCCGCGUGGGGGAUGACGGCCUUCGGGUUGUAAACUACUUUCGCUAGGGACGAAGCUUUUUGGGCAGGAACCGAGAUAAGAAGCACGGGUAAAUUACGG
rnacentral:rRNA from 1 species